CUUCCGGUGUGGAAGGUACUGGAAUCUUUGAGUGUUUGUUGGUGUAGCGAACGUAGAGAGUGCUGUGUAGGGGUCAAGUAUCCACGCAGGGUGGCCUCCCUUCAUCGGGAUGUGGCGAGAGUUUAGCGAGAUGUCAAAAACUCCUGCCCAAACAAACAUGAGAAUGGAUACGUUCUUCCGCCGCCCAUGUGCAUACCCGUCGCGAAGGAAACUCGUCACAGCUUUCACAGCUGUCACAGCUGUCUGUAUUGUGAUUGUAACAAGGACUCUCUCUCUCUCGCUCGCUCGCAACAUCCCACCUUUCGUCUGAGUUUGCUUCUGUAUACGUGAGGGCGCUGAUAUUUUCAUAUUGCAAGUACAGCACGACUUGAAUGCACUAAUGAUGUGUGUGUUUACAAACCGCCGCCCUAAACAAAGCUGUUUGUGUUCAGUGGACGAUCUUAAAUAUAUACAGAAGCUGUGUGGAUGUUCUCAGAUCAAAUACUUUGUUUCGCAGCUGAAUGACAUUAAGAUGAUUCGAAACAAGAGUGAACAGACAUGUGUCCCCUCGCAUACCCAUGUGGUGGUAACCAAGCUGCAGGAUUCGAAAACUUUAUCUUCAAAUGUGUCUGCGAAAGCACAGACUCUUCGUCCGAUCACAGAUGUACGUCUUCCUGCCAUCGGGGGAGCGAGGAAACUAUAAUUAAUUUUCCACUUAGAGCAAACACCCUUCGGCGGCUAUUAGCCAUCUCAUUUCAGCUGUCCCUGGAGGACAAAUUAUGUCUGCUUACGAAAGGGCGCUUGGUUUGCGGGCUGUGAUGCUCAAUGUUGAAAUGUUUUCUGUUGGUUAAGGCCAAAGCUGGAAAAGAUAUUCCUUUCCAGUCGAACUCUGGAUUACUUCAUGUCAACUCUAUCGAAAACAAAAAAAAAUAUGUUUAGCUAUCAAAAACAUAUGACAUGGAUAAGUAAGCAAAUGAUUGUGAGUGUGUAAGUGAGUGCGGACGGAGUUUGUCAGUUAAGAUUAGUAAGUGUUUCUGGAAUCGUCUGCAAAGUUUUUUGCUUGUUAUUAAUUUUAUCGAAAUGAUAGUCCUUGAAUUUAACUUUAUUUUAGUUUUUUUACCCUGCUACACGUUGGCCCAUAAGAAUAAAAGUCAACUUAAGAAAAAAUGUUUUCUGUAACAAAACGGGUAGCAGGUUAUCAGAAGCACAUUUUUGCGUUGACAUCUCGCCAUGUGCUGUGCUGCAGGCCUCGGCACUAGACGCAAUGGCGUUCUUUCCUUGACUCCGCCUUGUUUCUCAGUCUCGCCCAAACACGCGCCACCCCGUUUGCCAUUGUUUUCAAUUUUGACUUCCCCAACUUUUAAAAAAAUGUUUCUGCUUGC